GAUGAACGCUAGCUACAGGCUUAACACAUGCAAGUCGAGGGGCAGCACAGUGUAGCAAUACACGGGUGGCGACCGGCGCACGGGUGCGUAACGCGUAUCCAACCUUCCCGUUACUCAGGGAUAGCCUUCCGAAAGGGAGAUUAAUACCUGAUGGUAUUCAAAUUUCGCAUGUUAUUUGAAUUAAAGAUUUAUCGGUAACGGAUGGGGAUGCGUGACAUUAGGUAGAUGGCGGGGUAACGGCCCACCAUGCCUACGAUGUCUAGGGGUUCUGAGAGGAAGGUCCCCCACACUGGUACUGAGACACGGACCAGACUCCUACGGGAGGCAGCAGUGAGGAAUAUUGGUCAAUGGGCGGAAGCCUGAACCAGCCAAGUAGCGUGAAGGAUUACUGCCCUACGGGUUUUAAACUUCUUUAUGCGAGAGUAAUGUGCGCUACGUGUAGCGUAUUGCAAGUAUCGCAUGAAUAAGCAUCGGCUAACUCCGUGCCAGCAGCCG
rnacentral:rRNA from 1 species